rnacentral:rRNA from 1 species
AUUGAACGCUGGCGGCAUGCUUUACACAUGCAAGUCGAACGGUAACAGGCCGCCAGGUGCUGACGAGUGGCGAACGGGGGAGUAAUGCAUCGGAACGUGCCCAGUCGUGGGGGAUAACUACUCGAUAGAGUAGCUAAUACCGCAUACGAUCUAUGGUUGAAAGCGGGGGGCCGUAAGGCCUCGCGCGAUUGGAGCGGCCGAUGUCAGAUUAGGUAGUUGGUGGGGUAAAGGCUCACCAAGCCAACGAUCUGUAGCUGGUCUGAGAGGACGAGCAGCCACACUGGGACUGAGACACGGCCCAGACUCCUACGGGAGGCAGCAGUGGGGAAUUUUGGACAAUGGGCGCAAGCCUGAUCCAGCAAUGCCGCGUGCAGGAAGAAGGCCUUCGGGUUGUAAACUGCUUUUGUACGGAACGAAACGGCUCUGGUUAAUACCCGGGGCUAAUGACGGUACCGUAAGAAUAAGCACCGGCUAACUACGUG